rnacentral:snRNA from 1 species
GGAUGUGAGGGUGAUCCGGCUGCAACAUGUGUCAUCCCAUUGAUCACCAGGGUUGAUUCGGCUGACCUGACUGGCUAGGCGGGUAUCCCCUUCCUCCCUCACCACUCCGCGUGUCUCCCCUAAAGCUGCGCGCUAAGUCGAAGAGAACAACCUUCCCAGAUAGAGAAGGACCAUGCUUCCAUCAAGGCUAUACGAGUAGCUGUGCUCCCCUGCUAGAACCUCCAAACAAGCUCCCAAAUACUAUGUUGAUAUUUCGAGCUGUCUGCACUGUACUGUUUCCACGACAGAACUCAUAUUCGAAAAUAACAUGAAUUUUUU